AGGGGACAGAGCCCCUGGUGGAGAGGUGGGUGCCCCCCACCCUCACUGCUUCUCCGCUGGUGCUGGGUAGGAGUGCCCCAUUCUCACCAGAUCCUGGGCUCGGAGCCCGGGCCAAAUACUGACCUCAGUGGGAUCAGAACCUGAAAGCCCCUCUCUGGGGUGACUUUCUCAAGUGCUAUCCUCAGUCUCCCUGGGCUCUCGCAGGAUGGGGUCCCAGUCCCUGCAGGUGCCUCAGCCCAACCACUGAAGCAGAUGACACCUUGGCCCGGGCAUCUCUGUGGCCCGAGCUGGGGGAGGAGGUGACUUCCUGGGUCCCAUCCCAAGAGCAUCCACAGUGGCGUCGCCAGUGGAGGGGUGAAGCUGAGGGGCCCCACAGACCCCAGGCCCAGGGCUUGGUGGCUGCAAG
rnacentral:lncRNA from 1 species